CCCGUCUCAUCGGGGUGCCAUGAUAACUGACAGAAAUCGACGUUCCAUGGCUGAGAGUUUACCCGUAGAACCUGAUCCAGUUAAUACUGGCGUAGGAAAUGGGCUAUCUCUGCAG
rnacentral:ncRNA from 2 species